UAACACCUUCCCCUGUUAAGGCUCUAACACCAGGUAACACCUUCCCCUGUUGAGGCUCUAACACCAGGUAACACCUUCCCCUGUUGAGACUCUAUACACCAGGUAACACCUUCCCCUGUUGAGACUCUAACACCAGGUAACACCUUCCCCUGUUGAGGCUCUAACACCA